GGUCCCUGUGAAUCGGUUCGGAAUAAUGAGACGGGAUUUUUGGUUGAUCAAACGGCCGAAGCGUUUGCUGAGAAAAUGAUUGAUUUGAUGAAAGAUGAGGAAAUGUAUCGAAGAAUGAGUGAGGAAG
rnacentral:sRNA from 1 species